rnacentral:rRNA from 1 species
CAUUAUCGUAUAAACUUGAACAGGCAUGUUGCUGGCUCUCCUUGUGUGGGGGGGCAUGUGCACGGCUUGUCUCAUCUUUAUUAUUUUCUCCAACUGUGCACAUUUUGUGGAUCCCUGGAUUUGGAGGAGCCUUUAUUGAAUUUUUGUUCGAGUCGGUACUGCUGUUGCUUUUUCUUUGGAAAGGCCGGCUUUGCCUUUUGGCAUCUUCCCCAGGAUUCAUGUUGUUUUUCAAAAUCCCUUGAAUGUGUUUAGAAUGUUGAUAAAAGUGAAAAUAUACAACUUUCAGCAACGGAUCUCUUGGCUCUCGCAUCGAUGAAGAACGCAGCGAAAUGCGAUAAGUAAUGUGAAUUGCAGAAUUCAGUGAAUCAUCGAAUCUUUGAACGCAUCUUGCGCUCCUUGGUAUUCCGAGGAGCAUGCCUGUUUGAGUGUCAUUUGACUUAUCAACCACUUCAAAUUUAUUGAUGUUGGCUUGGAUGUUGGGGGUGUUUUGCAGGCUUUUUUCCCGUCUCAGGAAAUGGGUCAGCUCCUCUGAAAUGUAUUAGUGGCAUCUGAGCUGCUACUAUAGGUGUGAUAACUAUCUAUGCCUUUGGUACGCUGCAUGAACAGAUUGGGCUGCUUUACAAAACAAAUUGACAAACUUGACCUCAAAUCAGGUAGGACUACCC